GUCUACGGCCAUACCACUCUGAAUGCGCCCAAUCUCAUCUGAUCUUGGAAACUAAGCAGGGUCAGGCCUGGUUAGUACUUGGACGGGAGAGUGGGAUCCUUCACAAUCGGUGGAGACA
rnacentral:rRNA from 1 species